rnacentral:rRNA from 1 species
GAUUUCUGGCUUGAAACAUUUUGCCGGCCACGGUUUCGUGUGUUAGUGCUUGGUGUUCUGGCCAUCCUUCCAAUCGCUAUUUGUCUUUCUUCAUUGAUGGGCAAGUGGUAUUGGAUCUUUUACUUUGAAAAAAUUAGAGUGUUUCAAGCAGGCGUUAUGCUAUGAAUACAUUAGCAUGGAAUAAUAAUUUAGGACUUCGGUUCUAUUUUGUUGGUUUCUAGGACUGAAGUAAUGAUUGAUAGGGACAGUUGGGGGUGCUAGUAUUCAGCGGCCAGAGGUGAAAUUCUCGGAUUCGCUGAAGACUAACUUAUGCGAAAGCAUU